rnacentral:rRNA from 1 species
CCUGUUUAUCAAAAACAUGGCUCUUUGUUAUAUUAUUAUAAGGAGUCGGACCUGCCCGGUGAAAAUAUUUUAACGGCCGCGGUACUCUGACCGUGCAAAGGUAGCAUAAUCAUUUGCCCUAUAAUUAAGGGCUAGUAUGAAUGGUUUGACAAGAGCAGCACUGUCUCUACAAAAAUUCCUAGAAUUUAAUGUUCAAGUGAAGAAUCUUGAAUUAAAUUAAUAGACAAGAAGACCCUAUCGAGCUUAAAAAAAUUAAGUGGGCUUAUACUUAAGCUAUAUUUUGCAUUUUUUUCCACUUAAAAAUUUUGGUUGGGGCGACUAAGGAACAACUAAAGCUUCCUAAAUACUAUUAACCUAUAAGUUUUGAUCCGAUUAUUUCGAUUAAAAGAAUUAGUUACCGUAGGGAUAACAGCAUAAUCCUUUUUGAGAGCUCCCAUCGAAAAAAGGGUUUGUGACCUCGAUGUUGGACUAGAAUAUCCAGAAGAUGCAGAAGU